rnacentral:lncRNA from 1 species
UUUUUCGUAUCUUCUUCUAUUUUUCGAGCUGGAAGAAGCUACUAAAGCUCUAACUGAUUCAUAAUUACAAGCAGCUCGAUUAGAUUGUAAAUCCAAGAAUUUUGAUCAAGAAAAUUAGGGGAAAUUAGGGAAAAUUAGGGUUUAUGGAUCGAAAUUGCUGCUGUAUGAAGAAUUCAGUGAUGAAGACGGCUUGGAGAAGCCCAAACAAUGUCGAUAGAAGUUCCGUGGUUGUCCAGAUUGGUGUAAAGAUGGGUACGGUGGUUAUAAUUUCUUCACUUGGGUUGAUCCUCCAAUAUGUGAGCG